UCAGAUACUCCUACUCCAGCAAAGCUUGAGCCGCAGCCACACUUACGAUCGCAUCGCAUCGAUUUCUCCGGCUGAUUCCAGGAUGGGAACGGUGCGGUCAGAGCUGACGCAAUCGCGUUGACAGCUACGUACUAGUGUUUGGAGGCGUCUGCCAUUCAUAGCCUCACAGGUACGUUUCAGCUUUCCCAGCUAAAUGCCAUUGUUCGUUGGCGUCAUUUCUUACGUGGCGGCCUGCUUAUUAUACUUGUGUCGUGGCAGCUAUGUGUGCAUACAUGUGUGGCAGGCAUCACAGUUCACAGGGGAAGGGAGAAGGUGCUCGGAACAAGGGUAGUAGUAGGAGGAGUACUAUCUUAGUUUCUUCUUCGUCCAAUUUCUUGUUAGAGAAGGAGGAUAUGCCAUCAUUUUAUUGAUUAUUUUUCAAGGACGUUAUAAAGUAGUACAACAAAAUGUCUGAAUCCGUCAUCUUGUCAAUAUCUGUCGUUACAUCUAUCCAUAUGAUGAAUUGAUGCAAGCUAGACUAAAUACUCAGACCUCUCA
rnacentral:lncRNA from 1 species